GAUGAACGCUGGCGGCGUGCUUAACACAUGCAAGUCGAACGGUGAACACGGAGCUUGCUCUGUGGGAUCAGUGGCGAACGGGUGAGUAACACGUGAGCAACCUGCCCCUGGCUCUGGGAUAAGCGCUGGAAACGGCGUCUAAUACUGGAUAUGUGACGUGAUCGCAUGGUCUGCGUCUGGAAAGAAUUUCGGUUGGGGAUGGGCUCGCGGCCUAUCAGCUUGUUGGUGAGGUAAUGGCUCACCAAGGCGUCGACGGGUAGCCGGCCUGAGAGGGUGACCGGCCACACUGGGACUGAGACACGGCCCAGACUCCUACGGGAGGCAGCAGUGGGGAAUAUUGCACAAUGGGCGCAAGCCUGAUGCAGCAACGCCGCGUGAGGGAUGACGGCCUUCGGGUUGUAAACCUCUUUUAGCAGGGAAGAAGCGAAAGUGACGGUACCUGCAGAAAAAGCGCCGGCUAACUACGUG
rnacentral:rRNA from 1 species